CUUAUCUUGUACUCUAGCAAGGUUGCAUAGAGACAGGAAUUUGAUUUUACUCUUCAAUGAGCAGAGCUUCUUUAAUUUAGGUUGCCAUCGAUGACCAUAGCUAAUUGAAAUAGUUACUUUUGUCCAGGGCAGUGGAUUUUUCCAUGCCGUGCUUGGAUAGGUCCCUUUUGUCCCUGGCAGGGAUCCAUUCCUUUUGACCAGCUGCUUGGGAUAGUUUAGGGCAAGGGUGUGUGUGCAGUAGUUUUCCAUUGGGUUUUGGGAGACACCAUUUUUAACUUCGGUGAGCACACAGCGUAUGGUUCUGAAGCCAGUAGAGAAAUUGCUAUUUUUGCUUACCAUUCUGAAGGCAUAUCUCUAGGCUUUUUUUCUUUUGGAGCAGCCUUAUUUUCCAGUUUGUGAGCUGAUAAUCUUUAUUACCUGCAUGAGGUCAGAAAGCAGUAUUUAAAUCAUUUUUUAGCCUGUUUUGCUGAAAGUCAUCGAUUGUGCCAAGGUGGGACGUAAUUCCCUGAGACUUCUGGUCAUAGAAGCCGAGCACUUCCGAAAGUCGCGAAGGACGCAGAGAUUCCCCGAGAUUCACCGAGAGUAACCGAACAAGAGAUACGAUUGAUUUUGAUCUAGAAAUCCUCACCAUCUGAGUCUGAGACGGAGUGAGAUCUAUAUGAGCAUGAGACACUCAAUAUUGUCACAAAGCUACCCAACUUUCUUGACCUAUCACCUAGAUUAUAUCUGGACAGACGAAACAGCGAUCCCUAAUUCUACUGAUGACGGGUGUUAU